ACGCUGAAAACACCGGUUCUCGUUCGAUCACCGAAGUUAAGCAUCGUAGAGCCAGGUCAGUACUUAGAUGGGGACCGCUUGGGAACACCUGGUACUGUAAG